UACGAAGGGGGCUAGCGUUGCUCGGAAUUACUGGGCGUAAAGCGCACGUAGGCGGCUCUUUAAGUCGGGGGUGAAAUCCUGGAGCUCAACUCCAGAACUGCCUUCGAUACUGAAGAGCUCGAGUCCGGGAGAGGUGAGUGGAACUGCGAGUGUAGAGGUGAAAUUCGUAGAUAUUCGCAAGAACACCAGUGGCGAAGGCGGCUCACUGGCCCGGUACUGACGCUAAGGUGCGAAAGCGUGGGGAGCAAACAGG
rnacentral:rRNA from 1 species